rnacentral:lncRNA from 1 species
GUAAUCCCAGCACUUUGGGAAGACAAGGCAGGCAGAUCACAAGGUCAAGAGAUGGAGACCAUCCUGGCCAGCAUGGUAAAACCCCAUCUCUACUAAAAAAUACAAAAAUUAGAAUACCGGGUGGUGAAAGUGGGGAUGGAGAGAACUGGGGAUUUGAGGCAGGAGAAUCACUUGAACCCGGGAGGCGGAGGUUGCAGUGAGCCCAGAUUGUGCCACUGUACUCUAGCCAGGGCAGAAGAGUGAGAUUCCAUCUCAAAAAAAAAAAAAAGUAAAUAUUCACUUAGCAGCAGAAUACACAGGUUUUUCAAGCAUACACAGAACAUUCUUCAGGACAAAUCAUGUUAGGUCACAAAACAAAUGUUAACACAUUUAAGAAGACUGAAAUAAUACCAAGUAUCUUUUUGGACCACAUUGGGAAGAAACUGGAAGUCAAUA